UACGAAGGGGGCUAGCGUUGCUCGGAAUCACUGGGCGUAAAGCGCACGUAGGCGGAUUGCUAAGUCAGGGGGUGAAAUCCUGGAGCUCAACUCCAGAACUGCCUUUUGAUACUGGUGAGCUUGAGUCCGGAAGAGGUGAGUGGAACUGCGAGUGUAGAGGUGAAAUUCGUAGAUAUUCGCAAGAACACCAGUGGCGAAGGCGGCUCACUGGUCCGGUACUGACGCUGAGGGUGCGAAAAGCGUGGGGGAGCAAACAGG
rnacentral:rRNA from 1 species